AACGCGAAGAACCUUACCUGGGCUUGACAUGCUGGUGUAAGCCGGUGGAAACAUCGGCCCCUCUUCGGAGCGCCAGCACAGGUGCUGCAUGGCUGUCGUCAGCUCGUGUCGUGAGAUGUUGGGUUAAGUCCCGCAACGAGCGCAACCCUCGCUCCCAGUUGCCAGCGAGUCAUGUCGGGGACUCUGGGGGGACUGCCGGCGUUAAGCCGGAGGAAGGUGGGGACGACGUCAAGUCAUCACGGCCCUUACGUCCAGGGCGACACACGUGCUACAAUGCCUGGUACAGCGCGUCGCGAACCCGCGAGGGGGAGCCAAUCGCUAAAAGCCGGGCUAAGUUCGGAUUGCAGUCUGCAACUCGACUGCAUGAAGCCGGAAUCGCUAGUAAUCGCGGAUCAGCCACGCCGCGGUGAAUACGUUCCCGGGCCUUGUA
rnacentral:rRNA from 2 species